GCCCUUCGGAGGGACCUCGUAAAGGCGGCACUGCGGGAAGGAUAUAUGUGUGUGUAGCCGAGGGAUGAGAGUUUGCGCCGGACGUUAAUGGCGGUCAUAAAGAUGGAAACCACGCCGCCUGUUACCGUCCGUAUCUGGAGCAUAACUCACCGCAAGUCAUCCCAACGUCAACCCUUCGCGGUUCGCCCUUUUACGAGUCCCGCGUACAGGGGUGUGCGCGUAACCUACGCUUGUGGGAAACGAGCAAUAAUCACCCGAAAUGGACUAUCCAUCCAUACGCCGCGGCGGCCAGGAUCAUCCCCCAAAGGACGAAACUCAACGCGGCUAACUUCGGGUUUAAGAGCCCUACCGAGGCGAUACGGGAGAGGAUGGUCGGAAGGAGAAGGGAUCCUAAUGCAUCGACAACGGCUGCGACAGGAUCGAGUGACAGCGCAGCUUCUUUACAGCUUCCUGUCCACCCGCCAAACUUUACGGUUGACAACUUUACGCCGUCGGAAAGGAUCCGAAACAUCACGUCCCGUAACGCACACGGGACAUCAUCCAGACCCUCCCCCCCUACCCCGGAUCACCGCCGCUCUCCACGACGUGAGAAAAAAGUAAAAAGAGCAUCUCGAGUUCAAGAAACCGGAAUCGGAUUGACCGAGUGAUCGCCAAUUUUUUACUCUUUUGAAGUGAAAAAAAAAUUGAGCGACCUACACCUGAUCCUCGUGUGCCUCGAUUAAUAUUCAUCAGGACUAAUGACCGAUCGGAUGAUGUUCGUUAGAGGAAGUAUUUCGAACGGAUGUUAUUCGCCAUAACGAAGUGGAAAAAGCGACCCUCGAAACGGGGGGGGGAUGGCGACGAGAAGUUUUCCACCUUUUAUCCAAUUUGUGAAAAAAAGAAAAAAAAUGGAAGGUAUUUUUUUUUUUCUUUUAUCAAGUAUUUUUUAUCUCCGCUUUGCUUCGGUACCGUAAAUAAAUUCAGGUAACAUGGCUCCAUCUGUCCGUAAUUACGGGACGCGGCCCUCGUUAUCA